ACGAUUGUGGUGUAAUGGUAACAUAGGGGUUUCCCAGCCUCCUGCUCAUCCAGGUCUGGAACCUACCCCUGCCUCGGGUUCGAUUCCCGGCGAUCGUA